rnacentral:rRNA from 1 species
UGCAGAUGACUUGUUUAAAAAUAAAGUUUUGUAAAGUUGAAUGAAAAAUAUUUUUAUCUAAUAGUUAAUAAAGUAAAAUUAAUUGAAAAAUUAAAUUGAGCAAGCUAUAGAGUAAAGUACCGUGAGGGAAAGUUGAUAAUACCUUGUAAAGUAGAAGUGAAAAUUUGUAUCUUGUGUAUCAGAGAGAACUUAUGUAGAUUAAGUAUAUUAAUUAUCUCGAAAUAAAGUAUAGCUAUUUUUUAAAAAUUUUCUUUUUGGAAAAAAAGAAUUUAAUUUAAAGAUAAAAGUGAAAUGCUAGAUGAGCUUUAUAAUAUCUAGUUUUUUUAAAAAUAAAUUAAAUUUAAUUUUUGUGAUUAAAAUGUUGCAAAAUUAAAUGGCAGGAGGGAUCAGCUUCUUGUGAAAAAUAAUAUGAAAGAGUUAAGUAAGAUAAAGGACUAUAAGUUAGGCUUAGAAGUAGUCAUAUUUAUAAAGUGUUAUAACUAGAUUAAACAUUAAAAAAUAUUUUUUAAAACUUUUUUAAAGUAUAAAGAAAUUUAUUUGAACUUGGAAGAAUAAGAUAUAAUGGUUUUAUUAGUAAAAUUUAAUUAGAAGAAGAAUAUAUUGGAAUGUUUGAGAAAGUUUAAAAUUAGCUAAUAUCAGUAUAAAGGAAUUCGGCAAAAAAUUUUCUUUGCCUGUUUAUCAAANACAUGUCUUUUUGUAAGUAAAAAAAGUCCAACCUGCCCACUGAUAUUUUUAAGGGCCGCGGUAUUUUGACCGUGCGAAGGUAGCGUAGUCAUUAGGUUUUUAAUUGGGAUCUUGUAUGAAUGGUUAGACAAGGGAGAAUCUGUCUCUUUAUUGAAAAUUUAAUUUAACUUUUAAGUGAAAAGGCUUAAAUUAUUUAAAGGGACGAUAAGACCCUAUAAAGCUUGAUAUAAAAGGUUAUUUAAUUAAAUCAGUUAGUAAAACUUUUAUGACCUGGGUUAUUUUAUUGGGGCGAUAAGGGUAAAAUGUUUUGUAACUGCUUUAAAAAUAAAACAUGUUAGUUGAGAUAAUUUUUAAGAGAUCCCAAGUGAGGAUUAUAAGUUUAAGUUACUUUAGGGAUAACAGCGUUAUUCUUUUUGAGAGUACAUAUCGAAAAAAGAGUUUGCGACCUCGAUGUUG